GGGAUCCUACGGGAGGCAGCAGUGGGGAAUAUUGCACAAUGGGGGAAACCCUGAUGCAGCGACGCCGCGUGAGUGAAGAAGUAGUUCGGUAUGUAAAUCUCUAUCAGCAGGGAAGAAGAAAGACGGUACCUGACUAAGAAGCCCCGGCUAACUACGUGCCAGCAGCCGCGGUAAUACGUAGGGGGCAAGCGUUAUCCGGAUUUACUGGGUGUAAAGGGAGCGUAGACGGCUAAUCAAGUCAGAAGUGAAAACCCAGGGCUCAACCUUGGGAGUGCUUUUGAAACUGAGUAGCUAGAGUGCAGGAG
rnacentral:rRNA from 1 species